AACGCGAAGAACCUUACCUGGCCUUGACAUCCUAGGAAUCCCGAAGAGAUUUGGGAGUGCCGCAAGGAGCCUAGAGACAGGUGCUGCAUGGCUGUCGUCAGCUCGUGUCGUGAGAUGUUGGGUUAAGUCCCGCAACGAGCGCAACCCUCGUCCUCUGUUGCUAACAGGUUAGGCUGAGCACUCUGAGGAAACUGCCGGUGAUAAGCCGGAGGAAGGUGGGGAUGACGUCAAGUCCUCAUGGCCCUUACAUCCUGGGCUACACACGUGUUACAAUGGCGGUGACAAUGGGCAGCGAUCUCGCAAGAGCUAGCAAAUCCCAAAAAGCCGCCUCAGUUCGGAUUGCACUCUGCAACUCGAGUGCAUGAAGCUGGAAUCGCUAGUAAUCGUGGAUCAGCACGCCACGGUGAAUACGUUCCCGGGCCUUGUACACACCGACAUA
rnacentral:rRNA from 1 species